GCCAGCAGCCAUAUCACACUGCAACUCACAACUGGCAACCCACUGAAGCUAAGCAGGUGUGAGUACCUGGUCAAUACUUGGAUGGGAGACCUCCUGGGAAAAACUAAGGUUGCUGCUGGAA
rnacentral:rRNA from 1 species